CCUACGGGAGGCAGCAGUGGGGAAUAUUGCACAAUGGGGGAAACCCUGAUGCAGCGACGCCGCGUGAGUGAAGAAGUAUUUCGGUACGUAAAGCUCUAUCAGCAGGGAAGAAAAUGACGGUACCUGACUAAGAAUCCCCGGCUAACUACGUGCCAGCAGCCGCGGUAAUACGUAGGGGGCAAGCGUUAUCCGGAUUUACUGGGUGUAAAGGGAGCGUAGACGGCAGCGCAAGUCUGGAGUGAAAUCCCAUGGCUUAACCAUGGAACUGCUUUGGAAACUGUGCAGCUAGAGUGCAGGAGAGGUAAGCGGAAUGCCUAGUGUAGCGGUGAAAUGCGUAGAUAUUAGGAGGAACACCAGUGGCGAAGGCGGCUUACUGGACUGUAACUGACGUUGAGGCUCGAAAGCGUGGGGAGCAAACAGGAUUAGAUACCCCUGUAGUC
rnacentral:rRNA from 1 species